rnacentral:SRP_RNA from 1 species
GCCUUAGGACAAUGUUGUCCUUACGAACCGUGUCAGGUCCGGAAGGAAGCAGCACUAAGUUUGGUUCAGCAUGUGUCCUAAGUUGAU